AACGAACGCUGGCGGCAUGCCUAACACAUGCAAGUCGAACGAGACCUUCGGGUCUAGUGGCGCACGGGUGCGUAACGCGUGGGAACCUGCCCUUAGGUUCGGAAUAACUCCCCGAAAGGGGUGCUAAUACCGGAUAAUGUCUUCGGACCAAAGAUUUAUCGCCUUUGGAUGGGCCCGCGUUGGAUUAGCUAGUUGGUAGGGUAAAAGCCUACCAAGGCGACGAUCCAUAGCUGGUCUGAGAGGAUGAUCAGCCACACUGGGACUGAGACACGGCCCAGACUCCUACAGGAGGCAGCAGUGGGGAAUAUUGGACAAUGGGCGAAAGCCUGAUCCAGCAAUGCCGCGUGAGUGAUGAAGGCCUUAGGGUUGUAAAGCUCUUUUACCCGGGAUGAUAAUGACAGUACCGGGAGAAUAAGCGCCGGCUAACUCCGUG
rnacentral:rRNA from 1 species